rnacentral:rRNA from 1 species
CAGGCCUAACACAUGCAAGUCGAACGGAAGCCUUCGCCGCUUAGUGGCUAACGGGUGCGUAACGCGUAGGCAACCUGCCCCUGACUGGGGGAUAGCCCGGCGAAAGCGGGGGUAAGCCCGCACGGUCCCUUUUUCUCACCUGAGAGCAAGGGUAAAGAUUUAUCGGUCAGGGAGGGGCUUGCGUCUGAUUAGCUAGUUGGCAGGGUAACGGCCUACCAAGGCGAUGAUCAGUAGGGGUUCUGAGAGGAUUGGCCCCCACAUGGGUACUGAGAGACGGACCCAACUCCUACGGGAGGCAGCAGUAGGGAAUAUUGGGCAAUGGGCGAGAGCCUGACCCAGCCAUGCCGCGUGAAGGAUGAAGGCGCUCAGCGUUGUAAACUGCUUUUAUCAGGGAAGAACGGUAGUCCUGCGGGAUUGCGUGACGGUACCUGAGGAAUCAGCACCGGCUAACUCCGUGCCAGCAGCCGGGGUUAU